AGAGUUUGAUCCUGGCUCAGAUUGAACGCUGGCGGCAUGCUUUACACAUGCAAGUCGAACGGUAACAGGCCGCAAGGUGCUGACGAGUGGCGAACGGGUGAGUAAUGCAUCGGAACGUGCCCAGUCGUGGGGGAUAACGCAGCGAAAGCUGUGCUAAUACCGCAUACGAUCUAUGGAUGAAAGCGGGGGACCGUAAGGCCUCGCGCGAUUGGAGCGGCCGAUGUCAGAUUAGCUAGUUGGUGGGGUAAAGGCCCACCAAGGCGACGAUCAGUAGCCGGCCUGAGAGGGUGAUCGGCCACACUGGAACUGAGACACGGUCCAGACUCCUACGGGAGGCAGCAGUGGGGAAUUUUGCGCAAUGGGCGAAAGCCUGACGCAGCAACGCCGCGUGGGUGAUGAAGGUCUUCGGAUCGUAAAACCCUGUCGUCAGGGACGAAGGUUUGGGGGUUAAUAACCCUUAAGCUUGACGGUACCUGGAGAGGAAGCCCCGGCUAACUCUGUGCCAGCAGCCGCGGUAAUACAGAGGGGGCAAGCGUUAUUCGGAAUUAUUGGGCGUAAAGGGUGCGUAGGCGGUCGUUUAAGUAGGAUGUGUAAUCCCCGGGCUUAACCUGGGAACUGCAUCCUAGACUGGACGACUUGAGUACUGGAGAGGGUGGUAGAAUUCCACGUGUAGCGGUGAAAUGCGUAGAGAUGUGGAGGAAUACCAGUGGCGAAGGCGGCCACCUGGACAGUAACUGACGCUGAGGCACGAAAGUGUGGGUAGCAAACAGGAUUAGAUACCCUGGUAGUCC
rnacentral:rRNA from 1 species